rnacentral:rRNA from 1 species
GACGAACGCUGGCGGCGUGCCUAAUACAUGCAAGUAGAACGCUGAAGGAGGAGCUUGCUUCUCUGGAUGAGUUGCGAACGGGUGAGUAACGCGUAGGUAACCUGCCUGGUAGCGGGGGAUAACUAUUGGAAACGAUAGCUAAUACCGCAUAAGAGUAGAUGUUGCAUGACAUUUGCUUAAAAGGUGCAAUUGCAUCACUACCAGAUGGACCUGCGUUGUAUUAGCUAGUUGGUGAGGUAACGGCUCACCAAGGCAACGAUACAUAGCCGACCUGAGAGGGUGAUCGGCCACACUGGGACUGAGACACGGCCCAGACUCCUACGGGAGGCAGCAGUAGGGAAUCUUCGGCAAUGGACGGAAGUCUGACCGAGCAACGCCGCGUGAGUGAAGAAAGGUUUUCGGGAUCGUAAAAGCUCUGUUGUAAAGAGAAAGAAAC